rnacentral:rRNA from 1 species
GCCGGCAGCUAGCUCUCUGCAACUCUCACAUGGUCGCCCACUGAAGCCAAGCAGGGCUGUGCCCAGUCAGUAACUGGAUGGGGGACCACAUGGGAACACUAGGUUGCUGCCGGAA